rnacentral:rRNA from 1 species
CUACGGGAGGCACCAGUGAGGAAUUUUCCGCAAUGGGCGAAAGCCUGACGGAGCGACGCCGUGUGUGUGAUGAAAUCUUUCGGGAUGUAAAACACUGUCAGCAGGGACGAUAUUGACGGUACCUGCAGAGGAAGGCCCGGCUAACUACGUGCCAGCAGCCGCGGUAAUACGUAGGGGCCAAGCGUUAUCCGGAAUUACUGGGCGUAAAGAGCUCGUAGGUGGCUUUGUAAGUCAGGUGUUAAAGGUAUCGGCUCAACCGGUAUUUGGCGCUUGAUACUGCAUAGCUAGAGAGUGGGAGAGGAAAGCGGAAUUUCCGGUGUAGCGGUGGAAUGCGUAGAUAUCGGAAAGAACACCAAUGGCGAAGGCAGCUUUCUGGCCCAUUUCUGACACUGAGGAGCGAAAGCUAGGGGAGCAAACAGGAUUAGAUACCCGGGUAGUC